rnacentral:rRNA from 1 species
CACGUAGGGGACGAGCGUUGUCCGGAUUCAUUGGGCGUAAAGGGUGCGUAGGCGGCGCGGUAAGUCGGGUGUGAAAUCUCGGGGCUUAACUCCGAAACUGCAUUCGAUACUGCCGUGCUUGAGGACUGGAGAGGAGACUGGAAUUUACGGUGUAGCGGUGAAAUGCGUAGAUAUCGUAAGGAAGACCAGUGGCGAAGGCGGGUCUCUGGACAGUUCCUGACGCUGAGGCACGAAGGUCAGGGGAGCAAACGGG